UAGGUUUAGUUUUAGGUUUUAGGCUUAGGUUUAGGUUAUAGGUUUAGGUUACAAGUGUAGGUUAUAGGUUUAGGUUAGGUUAUAGGUUAAGGUUUAGGGAAUUGAGAAUAGGUUAAGGUUUAGGUUAGGGAGUUGAGAUUAGGAUUAGGUGUAGGUUUAGGUUUAGGGAUUUGAGAAUACAUUUAGGUUUUAGGUUUUGGUUGAAGUUUUAGGUUAUAGGUUAAGGUUUAGGUUUUAGGCUUAGGUUAAGGUUAGGUUAUAGGUUAUAAGUUUAGGUUAUAGGUUAUAGGUUAAGGUUUUAGGUCAUAGGUUUUGGUUUAGGUUAAGGUUAAGAUUUAAGUUUAGUUUUAGGUUAAGGUUUAGGUUUAGGUUAUAAGCUAUAGGUUUAGGUAAUUGAGAAUAGGUUAAGGUUUAGGUUUAGGAAAUUGGGUUCAGGUUCGUGUUCGGGAUUGGGUUUAGGUUUGGGUUUUCAAGUGUAGGUUUAGGUUUAGGUUAGGGAGUUGGGAUUAGGAUUGGGUGUAGGUUUAGGUUUAGAGAUUUAAGAAUACAUUUAGGUUUUAGGUUUAGGUUUAGGUUUUAGGCUAUAGGUUAAGGUUUAGGUUUUAGGUUUAGGUUAUAGGUUAUAAGUUUAGGUUAUAGGUCAUAGGUUUUAGUUUAGGUUAAGGUUAUAGGUUUAGGUUAAGGUUUAGGUUUAGGUUUAGGUUAAGGUUUAGGUUUAGGUUAUAAGCUAUAGGUUUAGGGAAUUGAGAAUUGGUUAAGGUUUAGGUUUAGGAAAUCGGGUUCGGGUUCGGGAUUGGGUUUAGGUUUGGGUUUUCAAGUUCAGGUUUAGGUUUAGG